UCGAACGCUUGUCGGGCUUCGGUCCGGCGAGAGUGGCGCACGGGUGAGUAGCGCGUGGGAACCUGCCCUGUUGUGGGGGAUAACCGAGGGAAACUUCGGCUAAUACCGCAUAAGCCGGCUGUCUUGCGAAAGAUGGCCGGGAAAGAUUUAUCGCGACAGGAGGGGCCCGCGUCGGAUUAGGUAGUUGGUAGGGUAACGGCCUACCAAGCCUGUGAUCCGUAGCUGGUCUGAGAGGAUGAUCAGCCACACUGGGACUGAGACACGGCCCAGACUCCUACGGGAGGCAGCAGUGGGGAAUAUUGGACAAUGGGCGCAAGCCUGAUCCAGCAAUGCCGCGUGAGUGAUGAAGGCCUUAGGGUUGUAAAGCUCUUUCGCCCGCGACGAUGAUGACGGUAGCGGGAGAAGAAGCCCCGGCUAACUUCGUGCCAGCAGCCGCGGUAAUACGAAGGGGGCGAGCGUUGUUCGGAUUUACUGGGCGUAAAGGGCGCGUAGGCGGCCCUCCUUGUCGCGUGUGAAAGCCCCGGGCUCAACCUGGGAAUUGCGCGCGAAACGGGGGGGCUUGAGUUCGGGAGAGGAGCGUGGAAUUCCCAGUGUAGAGGUGAAAUUCGUAGAUAUUGGGAAGAACACCGGUGGCGAAGGCGGCGCUCUGGACCGA
rnacentral:rRNA from 1 species